UACGUAGGGUGCGAGCGUUUGUCCGGAAUUAUUGGGCGUAAAGGGCUCGUAGGCGGUCUGUCACGUCGAAAGUGAAAACUCAGGGCUCAACCCUGAGCCUGCUUCCGAUACGGGCAGACUAGAGGUAUGCAGGGGAGAAUGGAAUUCCUGGUGUAGCGGUGAAAUGCGCAGAUAUCAGGAGGAACACCAGUGGCGAAGGCGGUUCUCUGGGCAUUACCUGACGCUGAGGAGCGAAAGUGUGGGGAGCGAACAGG
rnacentral:rRNA from 1 species